rnacentral:rRNA from 1 species
UACGAAGGGGGCUAGCGUUGCCCGGAAUCACUGGGCGUAAAGGGUGCGUAGGCGGGUCUUUAAGUCAGGGGUGAAAUCCUGGAGCUCAACUCCAGAACUGCCUUUGAUACUGAGGAUCUUGAGUUCGGGAGAGGUGAGUGGAACUGCGAGUGUAGAGGUGAAAUUCGUAGAUAUUCGCAAGAACACCAGUGGCGAAGGCGGCUCACUGGCCCGAUACUGACGCUGAGGCACGAAAGCGUGGGGAGCGAACAGG